UUUUUCGCGAAAAAUGAUACCAAUUCGCUGAAAUUCAUACUAGUAAUGUUUUUGGGGUCGCCGAUUCCGAAAACGAAUGUAAAAAUGCGAAAUUAAAAAUGGUGGACCGAAAAUGGCGGGAAUAUUUCGUGAAAAAUGCGUGCACACACCACAGUCCCGCGCGAGUCUCGACAAUGGUCACUUUCGAGGGCUUACCACAGGCCAUGGAAUGAAUAUGAACAUCUGCCCGUUUGGAUUUCAAAGCUCUAAUGCUAUCUAUUGACAAAUAUGUGAAGCUUUACCUCGGAUGAUAACUUUCGGUUUUGGGGGUUUUGGCCAAGAAUUCGGGCUUUCGGACCACUGUGCGCCG